rnacentral:lncRNA from 1 species
CAUGAUAUUUAAUAAUAAUAAAGUUUUAAAAAUUAUAGUUGAUUUAAAUAAUUUUUAAAGUAAAAAAAAACUUAAAGCUCAUUCUUUGUACUUGCAGGUGAUUCUCAGCCCUCUCCCCCCAGCCUCAAUGUCAGCAAACCUGAUUCUCACAUUCUGAAUGUAUAUAAGAAAUGAGGAGGGCUGAACGGAGACGUGGUUUAAUUUCCCUUCUCAGAAGAUUCUUUGAUUUACAAAAGGUAGCCUCACAGGAUUUGUGUAAACAUCAGGCCAAGUGUCUUUAAUUCAACCUAAUCAUCUCCAAGGCAACGGAGAAGAUCACGGAUUUCCCGGCUGGCUUACCUGCGGGCGGCUGUGGGGCUGACACCGCCCCGCCACACGGGGGAGCUGCCGCGCUUCGGGGGCGCAGGGGACGCUGGGAGCGGCUGUUCAGAGAGGAGCCUGGGAGCCGUGGCCAGCGAAGGAGCGUGGGCUUCUCUGGGCCAGAGGCUGCGUCUUCGAGCUCCGUAGUCUUCGGGAAGAAUGAGGACAGAUCUCUUCUGGGGACAGUUGGUCCUAGCGGUUGGAUUCCAAACACCAGACAUAUUGCUUGGCACUUAGAGAUCUCAACGUGGGUUCAUGGAUGAAUGCGUAAGCUCUUCUGUUUUAUUCUCAUUUCUUCAUCAUGAUAUGUCUACUAUUUAUCUUACCGUCACCUCAGCACCAUGAUGCCUGUCCCACUCCUAACUUCUAGGUGUAGCCCUCAGGACCAUAUGACAUCACACUAAGCCAAAGACAACUCAGCAGACAGCUAGCUGUGUGUUGUCUGGUUUGGACUUAUGAGCUAUCCCAAUCAGGUUUUUUUUUUUUUUUUUUUUUUCCCCCUAAAAAUCUGAACUAUUUUGUAUUCAGUCAAGAGAGCUUUGAAUCAGGAAGGUUCUAGAAACCUGGGACAUGGGUGUUUUUGAGAUCAUGUGAAAGCUGAUAAGUUUCCGAGGAGGCGAGCCUGCAGAGGGAAGAGAAUGGAGGAGGCGUGUGGAGAUAAGUGAGCUGGGAGGCCACGU